GACGAACGCUGGCGGCGUGCUUAACACAUGCAAGUCGAACGGAAAGGCCCUGCUUUUGUGGGGUGCUCGAGUGGCGAACGGGUGAGUAACACGUGAGUAACCUGCCCUUGACUUUGGGAUAACUUCAGGAAACUGGGGCUAAUACCGGAUAGGAGCUCCUGCUGCAUGGUGGGGGUUGGAAAGUUUCGGCGGUUGGGGAUGAACUCGCGGCUUAUCAGCUUGUUGGUGGGGUAGUGGCUUACCAAGGCUUUGACGGGUAGCCGGCCUGAGAGGGUGACCGGCGAAAUUGGGAAUGAGAAACGGCCCAGACUCCUACGGGAGGCAGCAGUGGGGAAUAUUGCACAAUGGGCGGAAGCCUGAUGCAGCAACGACGCGUGCGGGAUGACGGCCUUCGGGUUGUAAGCCGCUUUCGCCUGUGACGAAGCGUGAGUGACGGUAAUGUGUAAAGAAGCACCGGCUAACUACGUG
rnacentral:rRNA from 1 species